GAUGAACGCUGGCGGCGUGCCUAAUACAUGCAAGUCGAGCGAACAGACGAGGAGCUUGCUCCUCUGACGUUAGCGGCGGACGGGUGAGUAACACGUGGAUAACCUACCUAUAAGACUGGGAUAACUUCGGGAAACCGGAGUUAAUACCGGAUAAUAUAUUGAACCGCAUGGUUCAAUAGUGAAAGACGGUUUUGCUGUCACUUAUAGAUGGAUCCGCGCCGCAUUAGCUAGUUGGUAAGGUAACGGCUUACCAAGGCAACGAUGCGUAGCCGACCUGAGAGGGUGAUCGGCCACACUGGAACUGAGACACGGUCCAGACUCCUACGGGAGGCAGCAGUAGGGAAUCUUCCGCAAUGGGCGAAAGCCUGACGGAGCAACGCCGCGUGAGUGAUGAAGGUCUUCGGAUCGUAAAACUCUGUUAUUAGGGAAGAACAAAUGUGUAAGUAACUAUGCACGUCUUGACGGUACCUAAUCAGAAAGCCACGGCUAACUACGU
rnacentral:rRNA from 1 species